rnacentral:lncRNA from 10 species
UAGAGUAGAACUCUGGGUGGUUUAAGCCCAUCAGCACAUCCCAUUGGCUUUGCUGCAGUGAUCAGUUAAAAUCAGAAGACUCAGUUCAGGCCAGUGAGAAACAAGGAGGUGUUUGCUGGGGCUUCUGGGAAAAAAUGCUUCCUGGCUCAGAGAACUACGAGGGAAGAGGUUCUCUCUCCCUGUUGGAGAUUCAUGUAGAACAAUAAAGAUCCGGAAGAUAGUGGAAAUAAUUUUGGAAGUGUAAUGGAAUUCAGCUUUAGGAGUAAGCGAGAUGUCAUAGGAAGCCAAGAAGAAAAAUGGAAAAAAGUAUUUCAUUUGAUGACAUAGGAAAACAAGUAUGACAGAGGUCUGAAGG